GAUGAACGCUGGCGGCGUGCCUAAUACAUGCAAGUCGAGCGAAUGGAUUAAGAGCUUGCUCUUAUGAAGUUAGCGGCGGACGGGUGAGUAACACGUGGGUAACCUGCCCAUAAGACUGGGAUAACUCCGGGAAACAGGGGCUAAUACCGGAUAACAUUUUGAACCGAAUGGUUCGAAAUGGAAAGGCGGCGUCGGCUGUCACUUAAGGAUGGACCCGCGUCGCAUUAGCUAGUUGGGGAGGUAACGGCUCACCAAGGCAACGAUGCGUAGCCGACCUGAGAGGGUGAUCGGCCAAACUGGGACUGAGACACGGCCCAGACUCCUACGGGAGGCAGCAGUAGGGAAUCUUCCGCAAUGGACGAAAGUCUGACGGAGCAACGCCGCGUGAGUGAUGAAGGCUUUCGGGUCGUAAAACUCUGUUGUUAGGGAAGAACAAGUGCUAGUUGAAUAAGCUGGCACCUUGACGGUACCUAACCAGAAAGCCACGGCUAACUACGUGCCAGCAGCCGCAGUAA
rnacentral:rRNA from 1 species